GAGAGUUAGGGUUUGGGGUGGGGGAAGGGAGAGAGGACGAUGGGGGGGUGAUUUUCCUUUUCUUUUCUUUUUUAUUUUUUUUCCACAUGUAUUUUUUAUUUCAAUUUUUUUCAGCUUUUUUUUUUGCCACAUGUCACAAAUGAGCCAAGUGGAGAAUUCCGGCUGCCACAGUGUGAAUUCCGACUGCCAAAGUGGCAUUUCCGGCGCCGGCGUAAGAAAAAAUUGGUGAUGGGAUAAAUUUCAGACAAAAACUAAAGGUUAGGUAUUUAAAAGAAGAAAAAUAAAAAAAGGUGCAAAAACCAAUUCCGUGUAAACGUUAGGAAUUUACAG
rnacentral:lncRNA from 1 species